UACCUGGUUGAUCCUGCCAGUAGUCAUAUGCUUGUCUCAAAGAUUAAGCCAUGCAUGUCUAAGUUUAAGCAAUAAACGGUGAAACUGCGAAUGGCU
rnacentral:ncRNA from 1 species